rnacentral:lncRNA from 1 species
AAUCAAUAAUCUAAGAGCGGUAUCGUCAUUGGAAUGGCAGGCCGGAAAUGACGGUUUGUUUCACAUCCAUCCAAGGGAAGGUUUUAUUUGCCUUUAUUGAAAAAGGUGGAAUAUGGAAUCUGUUUGCUGAGGUCAAUUAUUGUUGGCAUGGGUGGAUCAAAAUUAACUAACUAACUGGUAGUGGAUAUGAUCACCAAACAAACAAUCGAUGUAAAUUAUUUUGGCCGUACGUUUAGUUGCAGGUACCCUAAGGAAUUGAUCUGCUCCGAGGCAGUAGCCAGCCAGCCAUACCGUACCGAAGGGUGCUGCGGAAUUCCGACCUCAUGGGACGUUUUAAAUCUUUAGGUUUAUUCUGAACUUAGUCAACGGUAAUUUCCUUUUUAUGUUUUAGAAUCUGACUGACCUCAUGUUAAGUUUUCUGUAGUGCGAAUGUCUUCUUUAGAUAGUGAGAGGGAAUAAAGUGUGACAUCAGUUUUGGCCACCCACUUCAGCAGUAAUCAUACGAUACGAUGAUGCAUACGAAGGAAAUAGAGCG